CAGGCCGUGGGGCGGGGCUCUGCGGGGAGCGGUGGGUUUGAGAGGGGGUUUGUGAGGGGUCGGCAGGCUUUGCACGGCUGCCUGAGAUAAGUGCGGGUUAACCUCCUCUUCCUUAAAGUAGGAAAUUCAAUCGAGACGUAAUCGUGUGACAUACAAGGGCAGGGCAGUUGGUUUUAUUUCCACAGCGUUCAGGGCGUUUGUAAGGCAAAUACCACAUGAAUACGUUGUCGUCUUAACGUUCAGGCUGACUGCGUUGCUCUUUUCCUUCGGAUUUAGCUUGCUGCAGUGUUCAGCAGGAGCCAAUGUGAGGCAGUAAAAUAUUGCAGCUGCGUACAGCACUGCCGGUCAUAAAAGCCUGUCACUACAGCACACGAGUCAUGCUUUGAUUUCUUGCCAAAUUAAACAGUUGUUAUGCUCUUAGGAAGUACCAGCCUCUGGAUAAGAUAUAAUUUUCCUGGCCAGGGUUAAUUCUCCCACUGUACAUGCAGGAUUAUUGCUGAUAGGGGCUGGUUGAAAGACUAUUUGUGAGAAUUGAUGCAGAGUGCCUGAUGACAGAUUUUUGUGAUGUGUUUCUGCUAACCAAUUGCAAUAUGUGUUUGUUUGCAGAUUAGCCUUCCAAAGCACUGCACCCUCUGUGUAGGCAGUGACUCCUCGUGUAUCUGCAGUGGUUCUGUAGCUUAUAGCUCAGGUAUUUAUUGAGGGUACAGUGAUAUUAGUAGGGUAUGUGAAUAGCCAUACCUCUGCUUUGACAACCUCCUGUCCCAGAUUGUGAACUGUUGGGAUUGUCAAACUGAGAUCACAGGAUACAUCCAGCAUAAAUUGAGUUGCAAUUUCAGUGCUGAAAUAGCAGAACUCUUUUGAUGUAUAAUCAACACUGCUUGAAGGGAGAAUGACCCUGAAUUUCAGUAAAUUCCUGCUGAUGUCCUUUCACACCCCCAAAAGAUAUGCAGAAAAAGCUUACUAAGCAUCUGUAACCGAUAUACAGUACAGAUAACAGCACUUUGCUGAUAAUCUAGUUAGCAAGAUGAGUGCUAUUCUUGGAUGUAUUCGAACAGCAUCUGCUACUAGUAAUGAAGAUCCUACGAGAGAAAUAAAACAGUGAUCCUGUGUUUAUCCCAAGAGCAAGGAUGUCUCAUCUGCAGGUGUUAGCUGUAGAGAACAAGGCCUUUAAAGACCAUGUGGAAGUUCUUCUCAUCUCAUCUACUCUCAGAAACUCAUACUCUAACCCCUAUAGGGAAACUAAAUCUCAGUGCAGGAGGUUUUGUCAGGGAGUUGGUUAAAAUGCAGAAGUUGUGGCAAAAGAAUUGCUGUUUUGCAUGCUACAGCUGGUGGCAAGCAAAGUAGUUUUGUUUUGAGUCUGAGCAAGAAGUUUAAGCCAGUGAAGGCACUCAAGGUGAAACAGUAGUUGAAAACAGUGAAGAGCUAUAGUGAUGAAAUGAUGAAGGGGAUGUGAGGUGUCAAACCUGUGAGGUAAGAGAAAUAAUUAAACCUCAGGCAAUAAUUAUCAAAAAGUACAUGUGUACUGCAUAUUUGUUACAGAUAAGUCACAAAAAGUUGCAUGUAAUGCUUUGAGGAGGGUGGUGAGAAAUGUAGAACAUUCAGGUGAUUUUGCUGUGGGUGAAAAAAAAAGAAAACCAACCAAACAACAAACCGUAAGCUCAGUUUACCAUUAUUUUGUUAUUCAGCAGAUCUGAAACACUGGGGGCUGAGACCUUAAAUUACAGUAUUAAGAGAAAUGCAAAGUUCCUUUGGCUGUUCCCCAUCCACACCAGCCCUGCAGUCCCAGUUUAAGCUGUCACCUCCUAUUGCAGCGUGCUGUUGUUCAGCAGCCACAAGUAGGUCACGUAGCACAGAUGGUCUUGCUGCCAGCAAAAUGUGGAGUCUGCAGUCCCCUUUGAGGCUAUUCCCUGUGCUCUCUCUCCUUUUCAUAGUGUUAGUAUGGAGAGAAUGGAAUGAAUUCUGAUGCUACCAACCGUUUUAUCAUCUGCUCACUGAAAAUGAAAGCAUAAAGCAAAGGUCUACAAAUACCAAGAGUGAAAAAAGUGAAGGGAUGGUUGGAAAGAGGGCUGGAUUGGUGCUUUAUGAAAUAUGGCACUGCUAUGUUAGAGUGUUUCCUGGGCUUAGUUUAUCUUCAUCCAGACUGAUGGAAGCCUGGAUUCAUGCGGAGCUGCUGUGCUUGACCUCUAAAGGGGCAAAAAAAAGUAAGCCAGAAAAGGGGAAGAUGCUGCCAGGAUAUGUGGGAUAUUCAUUUUAUCUUUCUUGCAGCAUCAUAGCAUCCUUCUAUUUGUGCACUUUUCUGUAGAACAUAACUGGGAGGGGACAUGUACCAUUUAAAAUUUGUUUCUAAACACUAUGGCUGAGUUCCCUGCCAGAACACCAGAAUCUCUGAGUUUAUUUCCCUAUCCUCUGCCUUGUCCUUCCUCUCUCGUUAGCAUCUCCACUAGCUGCAGAGCAACAGCAGCUCACCCGUGCAGCCUGGGUGAACACGGUGUGACAGCUGCCUGCUCUGUUACCUGGGUGCUUUUAUUUACUAAAUCUAAUUGCUCUUUAUAUUUUUGUGAAGUACCUUCUCCUAUUGGUUUUUUUUUUUUAAUGUUGUCACAUGCAAUUAUAAGCAGCAUGCUGUCUCAGUCUGAGUUUAAGCAAUUCGUGCUGCUGGAAGUGAGGGAAGUCACAAACUGCAAAGAAAAGGUAGCUGGAAAGACUGAAGGUUGUUGCUAUCAGAAUACUCUCAUGUUGUUAAAAAUAAACACAUAUGAAGCUAUUUCAUAUAAGCAUUGAAAAACACUUAGGAUUAGACUGAAGUCAUCACCAUUUUCAUCCAGAUAAGCUUUGUUAUGAUUUCUGUGUGGGUGCUGAGGAAUGUAUUGUAAUUUGCCCAGUGCUUUACACUAGGCUAAAAGAGCAAGAUUCAGGAGUAGUAACCUACGUUUCUGGUCUUUGGAAGCUUCAAGCUGAAAAUGUCAUUUAAGUUCCAAUUAUUUUUGUUAGUUUGAAGCGCCUGGGAGACGACUACGAGGGUACAAAACCAGACGUGUAGUUUCGGCUUCAGUCGGCAGAGGGAGUACAGACACCUGUGUGCAGUGCCAUGCAGGGCCACGCGUGACAGCUGAGAGAUCAGGCUCUGCCCUGAUCUCUCUUUUGUCUGCAAGAAAGGAGCCCUAAAAUGAUUAGGCAGUAGAACUCAAGAUUCCUUCAAGCUUGCACAGCAUGGAUUGCAGAGAAGGAAGAGCUGCAGUAUUCAAAACAGGAAGUUCUUAGAGCAGAAAGGAGGAAUUUACCAAAAGGUAAAGGUGAGGGUGGAGCUUGGCUUAAUCAUAAAAUAAGGACAGAGGAAGUAAGAAAAAUCUGACAAAUAAAAUCCCAGUUGUUACCUUCCAAUCUCUGUGCAUGCAAUUGAACUUUAUUCUAAAUGUUUGGAGUAUUUUUGCACAGACAUGUAAAGAAAAAAUAGGACUCGUGCUCUUUAGACUUGUUUUAGUGGCUGUAUAUCUCAAAGACUGUAUUAAAGCCACAGGAUAAUACAGAAACAUGCUCUCAGACUUUGACUGUUUCAAAAGUUGAGUUGGCAGCAGUGUGGUGCCAGCACAGCCCUUGUGCUCCACAUUGCACCUUUCCAAUUGAGAAGUGACUGGAUGUUCCUGUGGAGGUAAAUCCUUGGUUAUUAAUCCCACAAGCCAGGCUUCAUUCUUCUUGGAUUAACUCUGUGGAUUAAAGCUGCCUAUCUAAAUUUCCCAUGCCUUAAUUAGGUCCAACAUAACCUCCAAUUCAGGGCAUUUGUUAUUCACUGUUGCUAGUGCAACAGCACUGAGCUAAAGUUAAGACAGGACAAGUCUGAGAAACAGGGCUGAGGUGGGGAGAAUUUCUUCUUUCCUGCAUUAGUCAUCUGGGAUUUGCCCCUUCCAAGUGAACAAACAAUAUCACAGAGUGAAAUGUCUUCUGGUGCACUUUCCCCCAAAAUACUUGAUUUCUCUGCACUCACAUUGCUCUUUUUCCAUUGAUUUUUACCUGCACUUGCUCAAAGCAGCUUCAACAGUAGCAGAAAUACCUAGCAGUCUGCUUUGUUUGGUAGAGCAUCUAAGAGUACCUCCGUUGCAGAGGAACUGUGCAUCAUCAGCUUCCACAGAUGUCUGUGUAACUUCACUGCUGUUCCACGGUAUAUUUUCUAAAAUGCUUUUGGGAUCCCUGUGGAUGAAUGUAAGACCUUUCUAACCAUCACCAGCCAUCAGAGGCCAGCCAGGUGCUACAAGAUGGUCCACUUAGCAUAAAUAUUUGUGCUCUGGGAAUUUUGCUCAAUGUUUACUUAAACAUUCUGUUUAAAAUAAAAUAAAAACACCCAGAAGGAAGAGUUUCUGUAAUCUGUUUUAGGUAUCUCAGUUCUGUUGAAUGAGGGUUCAGAGUUCAUGCAUUGGUACCAGAGAAGCUGAUGGUGACUGUAGAGCAGGGAAGUGCCCCAGCUCUGAGAGCUGAUCCCUGAGAACAGGGUUGGCUUUGCCUCCCUGACCUUGUCUCCAAUGGGCUCUGAGCACAUGCAGGCUCAAGGUGGGUGCACUGAAGUGAGACUUUCAAAAUAAGGAAGGUGAGCUAACUGAAAAGAAAUGAGUGUAAUUGUAGUGUUAUUGUGAGGAGGAAAGUCCCAUUCAUUCCAACAAAACCAGGAUUUAAUUUGGGGUUGUCCUUAGAGGUUUGUUUGUUUGUUUUGAAUUUAUUUCCACAGUAAUCUUACCUGGUGGCGUACCAUAUCUCUAUUUCCCCAUCUCUCAUCCCAUAAAGAGCACCUUAAAUACUGAUUUAUUUUUUAAUCUAACUCCCCUACAUGCUGGUAUUAAUCCAUAUGCUUUACAGCCACCCAGGAAAGCUUUUCAUACAAAAUGUUGGCAUUAUUAAAUGAAUGUUGGCUGUCCCUCCCAGGGUGCAUUCCUCUGCCACUUCUGAUUUUUUUUUUGGUUUUGUUUUUUCCUUUCCUUCAUUCUGACUGAACCACUAUGGCUUGUUUCUCAUUUGCUCAGCCCUGUAGGGGAGAUAUUGAGGGCUAAUGUUUGUUAGAUGGUAAUUAAGACAAUGAAAAAUGGAUGUUAAUGUAAAAUGCCACGUUCCUUUAUAAUUGUCUAGAGAUAAACCUUUUCUUGCAGCUGUUCUUUUUAAGAAAGUCUGUCAGACAGUAAUAGACUGCUUCCUUCUUUCCAUGCAGAUUUCAGAGAUCUGCAAGAAGUCCAGGCUUCUCAGAAAGAGCUUCAGUGUCCUGUGCAAAACAAUUAGUUCAGAAACAGUCAUCCCUGAUGGUCCUUUCAACUUUGUAUGUUGUUGAGAUUAAGCAGAUAUUUUAUGAAAAUAUUAACUGUACACGAAAGCAUUUGGCCUCUUGGUGACCAUUCCUGUGCUCCUUGUUUGGGUGACAGCCUUAUAGAUGAAGAGGUGGGAUACUGAAUAUAAUCUUUCCCGUAUGACUUAGUAACAAUGCAUAGUGUUACAUUCAGUGCCUGCUUACUGAGCUUUGGCAACUGUCUCUUCCCUACACAUCGUUUGUCCCAGAUAUUUCCAGGCUGCUGAGCAUUUCAUGUAAGUACUGCUUUCAACUAUGAAGCUGCCACCAAAGCUGAGAACAGAGGCUGAUUCCUACACUGUUACUGCUUCCGUUCUCUUAAAUUAGUUUCUGAAUUCAGUACUCGGAUCAGCUGAGAACAGGGCAGAUUCCUAGAUAUAUUUUUAAGUGAUAGUUUCCAAGCUUGCUCUCAGAUUUAGCUUUAAACUUGGCUUACUGUUAAUAUUUUGAUAGGAUCUUUAACUGAGUAGCUGAAAACUUCAUUUAUCCAAGCAACACGCUUGCUGGAAUCCCAAAACAACCUGAUAUUGCCAACAUAUAGAUGGCAAAACUGAAACAGGAAAGUGCGAUGUUUUCUCCAAGAGGAGAGAGUUUUGACCUACAGUGUGGCCUUUGUCUGUUAUACCUACUGAAUUCUUCCUUAUAUGACUCACACAACUAUACUUGUGCAGGUUUUAUGUGUGUUAAUAAACACAGCUACAUGCAAGCAUUACAUGUUUGUACAUGCAGGACUUAUCUAUGGUGCUUUGUAUGUUUGUUUCUAUAAAGCCAAACAGAUGAUCAGUUCAGAUGUAAACUGCUGUUUACUGCAGCACUAUAGGGGGAUUUUAUAGGGUGAGCUGCUUCCCGAGCAUAUAGUGCUAUAUAAAUUGUGUGCAGUGAGUCCACUGUGACUAUACUGCAUUUCAGAAGCUCUCUUUGUCAGAUCAGUGAGUUCCCAGUUAACAACCACCUGAACUGCAUGCUGCCACCGGCUGAUAAAGGUGUUGAAAGGGCAGAAAUUCUUACAUGCUGCCUUUAGACUGGCUGGGUUUGGCUUUCUCUGCCUUUCAGAGGUUCCUCUGCUGUGGAUGGGUGAUACAGUCAUACAAAUGCCACCAACACUGAGUUACUUCAGAGCCAGAGACAGAGGGACAGAGCUGUUCUGUUAAUCUUUGUUGUGAAAUUCAGAUAGUGGCUGCAUAAAGUGGUGUGUUUGCACAGCUAUCAGUUAGCCUUUUAUUGGGAUGAACUGUCAGUGCAUGUGGAGGUUUAACACAGUGCAAUUAGAAAGCAGCAAAAUGCCCUCGGUGAACAUCUCUUGUUGUUUCAUUAUAACACACAGAGCUGUGCUUAGUAAAGCUCAUUUCAGGGUGGAAAUAUUGUUACUUAUUGAAAAUAACCUGCUGGUAAAGGUGCUGCAGAGAGUCAUUUGCUGGAUGCACGUGAGGCAGCAUGGUAGAUUGUAUUAUGGUUUAUUAGAACUGGAACUAACAGAGUGAUUCAAAGGACAUCUCAAGUCAGAAGUAAUUUUUCUUUGUCCCAUGUCUCAGUCAGUGUAACUCUGAGCAAGGCACUUGACUUCCUUAUGGUUCAGCCCGCAUAGCUGGAAAAUCUGUGUUAAAGGCAGGAAUAUAACUAGAAAAUCAAAUUCUGUAGGAAAGUUGAGCUUGCUUGAGAAAAUAAGGGGUUUACAAGCUCAAAUCUUAGUGCUGUCUCUACUGGCAUUCUGUUGCAUCUGUGUUCUGCUGCUUUAAAACAAGGUAAUGCAUUGGAUAAGGGCUGAUCCUGGAAGGUGCUGUGCACCUGCAAGCCAUGGUCUAACUAUGCACACUUGGUGAUCUAAUUAAUUUCACAGCAAUUGCUCCCACAGAUGAAUUUAAACCUGCAGUUAUGACUUCUGCUAAAUUGAGGCUUCCAUUCCCUGUUGAAACUGGCAAACUGGGAGGCUGAUGCUUCCCAGGCUUCUGUGUUUGGGUGCAACUUCACUGCAAUUGAUGAUAAAAGCAUCUUUUGUGUUGGUAUAAUCAUAGUCUGCUGUAGGCCAGGAGGUGGUAGAGGUGGAAAAUGUGUGCAACUAAUCUUCUGCUGCAGAGAUCAGAGACAGGCUUCUUGUGCAGCUGGGUGACAGCACAUCCUAGCUAAGCCCAUGGCUUUGUCAGACUGCAGCCACAGCUGCAAACGAAUGCCAAAAUUGGUCCUGUUCUGUGUGGAGGGUGACACUUGCCUCCUUAAAGCCCACGUUGCUGUGGGAGAAGUGUUUUACUCUCCUGUGUUAGAUUUACAGGUAUUUUUGUGCAUUCCAUACCUCUCAAAGCAAUACAGCUGUGGCAGCAAUGAUGGAAUGAAUCCAGCAAGAUUAUAAUUUCUUUUCAACUCGUGCUCAAGCUGAUCUGGGUAUGUAUUUCUAGAUACACCAGACACACAGACUUGAUCUUUAAACACACUGAUAUGUUAUUUUUUGGGUGGGAGGGAAUAAAGAGAGUGAAACUGCCCUGCAAGUUUGAAGUGCUAUCUGUUUACAGGUGUUAACAUCUAAUGUCCUUUUCUAUUGGAGCAAUUGCAGGAUGUAGCCCUGCAUUACAGCUCUCAGAUCAGUCAUGCCAGCCCUGUGAAACGUCAUCUGCACGAGCAGAGCACUGUAAGUGCAGAAAUGGUCAGACUUAACUCCCUGACUGUUAGGACCUGAAGGUCAUAGCAGUAUGUCUUCUCAAGGCAAUUUGCUCUCAAAUUGCAAUAUGGCCAUGGCUUUGUAUUAUGGUGCUACAGAGUAUAAUAAUAUCUUAAAAUAAGCCAAGUUGUGAAGAAAACAAUUGGAUGUAGUCAUUUGUUACAUAUUUCAGAUUUUGGUCAAUGUUUAUGGUCUGCUUAAAUAUCAUAGGUACAAAUGGGAGUGGGUGAAUUUCUCUGUCACACUUGCCUAUGUACAACAAGGAAACGAAUUCCCAGCCUGUUAGGAGGACAUCUGUUUCCAUGACAUUUUAAGCUCAGUUCACAAAUAUCUUUUCUGUUUUUUCCUUUAGCUAUGUAUACCAUUUGCACGCUGGAUAGGUGUGAGAUGAUUAAAUUCAUAUUUUGAAAGAAUUCUUCACCAAAAGAUGCCCUGGUAAACUUUUUGUUUCUAAUUUCCUUUCCUCAGCAUAUAUCUCAGUAAUCAGUUAUUUCUGCUCUUUUGCUACAAGCAUUCUCAGAUGUAUUGUGGAGAAUAUAAAAGAAAAGAUACCUCAAGAGUGCCUAGUGGAAGAGACCAGAAGGCUCUUCAAGCAAAUAUCCCUUCAGAGCAUCCCCAUAUGUUAUCAUGGGCUCAGUGGAAAGAGAAGCAGCCCUGAAGUGCCAUAUCAAACAGCUAUUGAGUUUGUUCAGAUAAGUUUCUUUUCAGUUGAGAGCUGUCUCAUGCUAUUUGUUUUUCCUAAAUAGAAUUAACAUAGCUACAGCUGCAAUAUGAUUACCUUAACGACCUCUAAUGUAUUCUGGCUCUGUCUUCCACAGGUUAACUUACUUGAAUUGUAUUUUUCCACUUGUUAGCUUUAUAUUUGCUCCUCAGAUUUCUCCUGCUUCUAAAGAUGAUAACACAGUUUGCCUCUUUUCCUUCAUUCUUUUGAGCCUUCACAACUAACAAGCUGGCAUUUCCCACUGGCCUGUUCUGAAGUGCACACUGUGCAUUUGCAUUGUCUGAAGUUAUGAGUGCAAUGCAUGCUGGCAUGAGCAAGCCCUGACAUUUGCAGGGAAGGAAAAAAAGAAAAACAGGCUGGACAUUACUCAGUCUGUUUGUGCAUGCAGUGGGUCACCCUCUUCUGAACAGUGGUGCUUAAUGCAUUUACUCUGUUACCAUCUUUGAAGGGAUAGAAAAUGUGCUGCUUGUGCCAAGUGCAGUGUAACACAGUUCUGUUCAGGAAUAUCAGGUAUAAUUACUGUCUCUCCUGUUUCUAAACAUCAUUCUCAUGUGUCUGUGCCUUCUGUUGUGAAAUGGAGCACGUGUGUGCUUUAUGGGAGCUGUGAGGACUGACAGGUCAGUGGUUGUAGUGCACCCAGCAGGCCAGGGCUCAGUCAUCAGUUCUGAUGUGACUGAAAAGGACUGAGCAGCUGCAGCUUUAAUUGAGCUCACCUGUGAGGAUUUAGGAUGGAGACAAAUACUAGAGCAGGCACCAGGAGCUGUUUUAAUGUGUGGCAACCACGUUUAGUCUGGUCAGCUCAAAGCACUUUACAGAUUAGUUCAGCAGAAUUGUUCCUCUUUCACUGUUAGUGAGGACAGCUGAGAUGAAGGGAGUUUCCAUUUAAUGGUGGCAAUAAAACUAGAAAAUAGAUUGGAGUGCAAUUUUUAUGUAUCACAGUACUGUGUUCUGUAGAAAGCCAUACUGGCAGAUUUGUUCCUCAUUGAAAUAUAUAAUACAACUGAUGCAGUGCAAUUAAUAAGACUAAACUGGCAGGAAACUAAAGAGUCACGCUAAGUUCCUGGAUUUGGGUUAUAUCAUGGCAUCUGGCUGAUGAAAUCCACAUUAGAAGGGCUUUUCUGUAAUAAAUAUUCUAAAAUCAAAGCCAACACCUGACAAAUGAGCAGGAUUCUUCAACUCUUCUACACCCAUUUUAGUAAGGCUGGAUUUUUUUGGGAGGCACGAUUGUCCUUUCCUCCUAGCAAUUGCUACAGCAAUUUUCAGCCACAGAAAUGAGGUCAUCUGGGGCACCUUGCUGCCUUAUUUCUGCACAAAGAAACAGUCUCCUCUUUAUAAAGACCUCGUGGUGAUUCUUUAAACCUUUUAAUGCCUUCCUAAGAAAUGACGGCUGGGAUCAGUGGAUGGUUGGAUAGGUUGAUGGUGAAAACAUAAUAUGGUGGGAAAAACAAAAUCCUAACAUAUGGUAGAUAGUUUGUUGUACCAGAAUAGCACAUUUCUGUAGCAAAGGGAUGUUUCUGUGGAAAGAACAAAAUUCAGUUUAACUACCACAGAGCUGUCCCAGAGACAGGCUAGCAGCUCUGCACCAGCUCUGAAAUGGGAUGUGCUGUGGGUUUUGAGCUUUGUAUUGAUGCUAUUCUCUUUGCUGUGCUAUUUAUGUCAGGUCAGUCAGGACCUUCAGUCGAAAACUUUCCUUAAUCAGAAACAGACAUUUGGGGGAAGCAGAGGGCAACUAGUUGUACUGUGAUCAGUGUGCAUGCUCAGGCCAGCUGGUCAAACCACCUGAGUGCAUUCCCAAGGAAGAUGUUUUUUUUUUAAAGUAUGGCUUUUCUCCAAGCAUCAAAAUUUGGAGCACUGUUCCCUCUCCUUCCUCAUUAAACACAGCUUCAUUUGUAGAUACCAAAAUCUCCUUAAGUUCUAGCCACAGACAGGGAGCUUUUUCAGCCUGGCUCCCUUCCCUUGACUUUGAUCUUCUAACACACUGUAGUUUAUGCAGAGGAAAUGGGACUUUCUUGCUUCUUGCAGGUCCUGCACAGUCUGUAGCUCUGGUAGUAGAAAACAUCUGCUGCUUUUAUUUGAUCUGCAGUAUUACUUGUCAGGCCCAAACAACGGGGAAAUAAUCUCCUUUUUUCAUGCUCUAUAGUCUGGUUCUAAUUUGUCACAGACCCUUUUCAACCAGGUCAGAGAAAAUGAUGAAUCUUUUCACCCCUGGCAGCAGAGAGAGAAGCCUGGUGGCACGUCCUUGGAGCAGAAACUGAAGAAAGGAAUAAUUUUUUGACAUAAAAGGAAAAAACAAUUGCUGGGCCAGAAGCAAUUUUGCUUUGCAAAACAUAAAAUGGUUUGGAUGGUUUGCAAACUAAUGGUGUCGUUGCAUACAAACAUCAUGGUUUGGCAACUGGAAAAAGGUAGAGUUGCCACAUUAUGACUGUUUUUGCCUCCUUUUAUUUUCCUGGGGAUGCCCUGAGCUACACAGAGCUAUACAGACAAUUUUUACUUUGCAAAGUAGCUUCAUGAAGUGGUUUGAAUAUAGGACGUUGUGCUGGGAGAUCUGAUAGGCUUAAUUCUGACUUGAGUGUGUAUAAGAAAGAAAUAUAUAAACAGAGUAGAAGUACAACAUCGUAAUAACCACAGUCUGGCAGCCUUAGUACUGUACCCAGCUGUGCUACUGGGUUAGAGCAAGUCUUGGGAAGGUGAGCUAAGCUCUCCCAGUGUUGGUUUCCAUGCCUACAAAAUGCUGGUGAUGUUUGCUCCCCUUUGAGGUCAGUAGGCAUGGAAGUCUUUUUAUCAGAGCAAACCUUGCAGUGCAGCUCCCAGUUCUCCUGUCACGUAAAAAAGCAGCUGAGCAAAGGACAGCCCAACCUUCAGUCCUGACUGAGACAAACAGCAACCUUUAGGGCAGUAACAAAGAAAGAAAAUGAAUAUAAAUAUGCAAUGCUGUGCUGGAGCUGAAGGUUUGCUUAGAGUAACUCAUCCACUACUUAAACUUGGAUUGUUCCCCUGGCCCCUCUUUACCAGAAAGAAGAUGUUGUAGUUAAGUAGUACCAAAUAUCCCUUCAGCCUCAUGUGCUGUCUUUUUCUAUUUGUGUGUUGUGUUCCUCUAUGUCUUGUGUUCCUUUCUUUUGGUCAUCCUUGCUUGUAAACGUUUGAUGCUGAGGUGUAGAUGUUGACCAACAUCUGUCAGUUUCUACUGGAUGACCAUGGAUACGGAGUUUUUUCUCUACAGGACUCAAUCCCCUACUUGCAAAGAGGAGGGGCUGAUAGUCCCCAUCAUUGUAAGCUGAGAUCUUCAAACAAAGGCUUAACAAUAACCUGCUGACUAAAAAGAGGAGGUAUCCAGAGCUCCACUGCCAGCAUGGUCUUGAGUGCAUCACUUGGACAUUCUGUCAGUGGACAGAACUUCAAGCCUCCACAUAAUGGAUGCUGAAUUUCUCUGUAAUCUACUGGCUGUUGGGCUCCUGAAUACAGUUUUUGUAAUAAAAAUGACUUCUUCAACAAUAAAGUGUGGUCCAUUUUAUUGCGCUGCAUUUGUGUGGUGUGUUGUCCCAGUUUCCUCAGCAAGGAGGAUUACUUUAAAAAGGAAGAAUGAGAGGAACCAGAUUGUGCUAAGGACUACAUUACACCAAUGGU